rnacentral:rRNA from 1 species
CCAGACAGCCAGGAUGUUGGCUUAGAAGCAGCCAUCAUUUAAAGAAAGCGUAAUAGCUCACUGGUCGAGUCGGCCUGCGCGGAAGAUGUAACGGGGCUAAACCAUGCACCGAAGCUGCGGCAGCGACGCUUAUGCGUUGUUGGGUAGGGGAGCGUUCUGUAAGCCUGUGAAGGUGUGCUGUGAGGCAUGCUGGAGGUAUCAGAAGUGCGAAUGCUGACAUAAGUAACGAUAAAGCGGGUGAAAAGCCCGCUCGCCGGAAGACCAAGGGUUCCUGUCCAACGUUAAUCGGGGCAGGGUGAGUCGACCCCUAAGGCGAGGCCGAAAGGCGUAGUCGAUGGGAAACAGGUUAAUAUUCCUGUACUUGGUGUUACUGCGAAGGGGGGACGGAGAAGGCUAUGUUGGCCGGGCGACGGUUGUCCCGGUUUAAGCGUGUAGGCUGGUUUUCCAGGCAAAUCCGGAAAACCAAGGCUGAGGCGUGAUGACGAGGCACUACGGUGCUGAAGCAACAAAUGCCCUGCUUCCAGGAAAAGCCUCUAAGCAUCAGGUAACAUCAAAUCGUACCCCAAACCGACACAGGUGGUCAGGUAGAGAAUACCAAGGCGCUUGAGAGAACUCGGGUGAAGGAACUAGGCAAAAUGGUGCCGUAACUUCGGGAGAAGGCACGCUGAUAUGUAGGUGAAGCGACUUGCUCGUGGAGCUGAAAUCAGUCGAAGAUACCAGCUGGCUGCAACUGUUUAUUAAAAACACAGCACUGUGCAAACACGAAAGUGGACGUAUACGGUGUGACGCCUGCCCGGUGCCGGAAGGUUAAUUGAUGGGGUUAGCGGUAACGCGAAGCUCUUGAUCGAAGCCCCGGUAAACGGCGGCCGUAACUAUAACGGUCCUAAGGUAGCGAAAUUCCUUGUCGGGUAAGUUCCGACCUGCACGAAUGGCGUAAUGAUGGCCAGGCUGUCUCCACCCGAGACUCAGUGAAAUUGAACUCGCUGUGAAGAUGCAGUGUACCCGCGGCAAGACGGAAAGACCCCGUGAACCUUUACUAUAGCUUGACACUGAACAUUGAGCCUUGAUGUGUAGGAUAGGUGGGAGGCUUUGAAGUGUGGACGCCAGUCUGCAUGGAGCCGACCUUGAAAUACCACCCUUUAAUGUUUGAUGUUCUAACGUUGGCCCGUAAUCCGGGUUGCGGACAGUGUCUGGUGGGUAGUUUGACUGGGGCGGUCUCCUCCUAAAGAGUAACGGAGGAGCACGAAGGUUGGCUAAUCCUGGUCGGACAUCAGGAGGUUAGUGCAAUGGCAUAAGCCAGC